rnacentral:lncRNA from 1 species
UUACUGGGGAUAUUGUUGGGCCACUUAAUUGGUGAUUAGAUCCAUAAUCAGUGCCUUUUGGCUGUGUGAAGGAAAGAGAAACAUUAAAAUAGCGAUGAAGGUUUAGUUAAAGGUGACUGAGUUCAUCUGAAAGCACUGUCAUUCUGUACUUCUAGGGUAAGAGCAUUUUGUUAUCCAUUUGUUAUGCUCUAGUUUUGUAGCAAUACUUACUUCUAAAUGGACUGGAUUAAGAACAGAUUUCCAGCUUUUAAAAAGAUCUUCACAGUUGGCCACACAGAGAAGAAAAGUUGGAAGCAAAAUCAUCUGCAGGAGAUAAAAUAUCAUUUGCAGCUCUUGUUUUCCAUGCCGUCUGUGAUGAAACUAUAUUUAGGUGACAAUGGGGCCUUUUCUAUCCAGAUCUUGGCUGUUGCUCUGUGAUGCCCUUGCGAGGUCACAGCCCAUACCUUUCUGAUGACGCUCCGCUGCUACGACAAGCGUCCGCAUUCCUGGACAGGCAUGCCAAGCUCAGAAUGGGACCACUGGAGAGAAUUAGGGCAACCGGAGUUGUGCCAUGGAUGGGGAAAGAAAGUCCUGAGUACAAGCAAUGGGAGAAUGUCGUCCUUCUUUGAGGAGAGCACAAGCUGCGUUAGCAAUAGGCAGGCCCGGAGGGAACAGGCCCUUGGCGCAAGCAGCAGCAGCAGCUUCCAGCCCCACCGGAGCCUGCUGGCAGCUGCCCCGCCGCUCACCGCGAACGUGGCACGAGGCGCCGGCACUGCCGCUCUCCUCAGAAAACCUGACACCAAAACUGGCUGCUCCGGUAAUAUAAACCACAGAAAUGUCAGACUUGUCAACCCAGUUUUUCCAUUCAGAAGAUUUGUUCUGCGUUUCUACCUUGUCUCAUGGAAGGCACACCUCAGAAACUGCAGCAAAGAGUGCAAGCCACAUUGUGAAACCUGAAGGAGUCCACGAGCUGCAGAGGGAAAAUGUUGAAAACAACAUGCUUCCUGCCGGGCUCAAAGAAGUAACAUGGCUGGUGCUGUGGAAUGAUUAAGAAACAGAGUUCUAACAGAGAAAUCUGGGGGGGGGGGGGGAGGGGGGAAAUAUAUAUAUAUAUAUAUGUUAAUUAAUUACCCAUGUUUAGAUUAAUUUUUGAUGAAAAUGUUUUUGUUUGUUUGUUUUCUCUAAUGAAACAUAGAUGCUUUUUGUCCAAUCCUUAAAGUACAGCUCAUUUGCUUGCUAUUGCUUCAUAAUUUCCAGCUUAUUUGGUAAAAUUUGGAUUCUGCUUGAGAGAAAAAAAUGCAAAAUUAAAAGCUCAGCUACAGACCAGUCCAAAUUCACUCCUGCUAUGAAUCCUCAGACAUCCAUUUUACCUCUAUCAAGAAUUUAGAUUGUAUUGUAGUUAUUUGCUGUGAAGUUCCGAAAAAAAAAACAAACACAACAAAACAAACAAAAACAAACAAACAACAACAAAACCAUCAAAGAGUUAUUUCAGUUCCAGGAAUGUUAUUAUUUUGUCAUUUUCAUUAUUAAUUGUUAAGUUCAUCGCUGACCUAUCAAUACAUACCUAAGACAUGCUGUAAUAAAACAUAUUAACAGGGAUAACUAAAUGUUGUA